rnacentral:rRNA from 1 species
AAAUUUGAAAUCUGGCGUAAGCCCGAGUGUAAUUUGUAGAGGAUGCUUCUGGGUAGCGGCCGGUCUAAGUUCCUUGGAACAGGACGUCAUAGAGGGUGAGAAUCCCGUAUGUGACUGGCUUGCACCCUCCACGUAGCUCCUUCGACGAGUCGAGUUGUUUGGGAAUGCAGCUCUAAAUGGGAGGUAAAUUUCUUCUAAAGCUAAAUACCGGCCAGAGACCGAUAGCGCACAAGUAGAGUGAUCGAAAGAUGAAAAGCACUUUGGAAAGAGAGUUAAAAAGCACGUGAAAUUGUUGAAAGGGAAGCGCCCGCAACCAGACUUUGCGGCGGUGUUCGGCUGGUCUUCUGACCGGUUUACUCGCCGCCGUGAGGCCAUCAUCGUCUGGGACCGCUGGAUAAGACCUGAGGAAUGUAGCUCCCUUCGGGGUGUGUUAUAGCCUCUGGUGAUGCAGCGCGUCUCGGGCGAGGUCCGCGCUUCGGCAAGGAUGAUGGCGUAAUGGUUGUCGGCGGCCCGUCUUGAAACACGGACCAAGGAGUCUAACAUCUAUGCGAGUGUUCGGGUGUCAAACCCCUACGCGUAAUGAAAGUGAACGGAGGUGGGAACUUUUUGUGCACCAUCGACCGAUCCUGAUGUCCUCGGAUGGAUUUGAGUAAGAGCAUAGCUGUUGGGACCCGAAAGAUGGUGAACUAUGCCUGAAUAGGGUGAAGCCAGAGGAAACUCUGGUGGAGGCUCGCAGCGGUUCUGACGUGCAAAUCGAUC